CCUCGCCGCCAUCGACGUUGUAGCUUCAAUCUCUGCCUUUAGCCAAUUAGGGUUUUCCUGCCUAUAAAUAGUUCGCUGCGUCUUGUCUCUCUUGUUCCAUCUCCGCCUCUCUUAUUCUUCCCUCAACUUCUCUACUCCCUUCUGUGUUCUUCGUAUGUGAGUUUGGUUUUGAAUUUGAACAGAUCCCACAGAUCUCUGUGUCGUCUUGUUCAUAUUGUUUUUCUCUGUUGAUAAAAAUGCUUUGACGAAAGUAAUACCUGUGUACCAGAGACGGAUGAGUUCGUCUGUGACGGCAACACAAUCCUCUAAGAAGUUCUGAGCAUUCUCGACUGUUUUUGUAUCUUCGAUUUGUUUUGCUUUUUUGUUAUUUCUUUUGUUGUGGUUUGUGGCUUUUCCGCUCGCUGUUUGGGAGGUGAGAUUUUGGAGAUCGUGGGAGACGGGUAGAAGCGAAGUGACGAUAGAAAUUCAAUUGUCUGUCAAUCCACUGAUGUUCAGUGAUGUUAUAGUGAAUCCCGACAGUCGGCAAAGGAUGAAUCUCAUUAACAAAUGGGUAAUUUGCGUCUGAAUUGUUCUCAUGAUGCUAAAUCACCUUGGAGAACUGAUGCCUUCUGAUAUUGAUUUAUGGUUCUUUCUGAGAACGUGAUUGUUUUGUGAUUCAAUUUAUUCGCUUUCCCUUGUAGGUUUCGGAUUUUGUGAUAACUUGAUCUGAUGAGGAUGAAACCACAAUCCACUGUGGUGUGGUCAACACUCACAGAUUCAUGGGAACAACAAUUCCCCUUUUCUGUUGUGUAUUUGUCCAUGGGUUCUCUGUCACGUUACUGCAAUUUCAGUAAGCAAUUGGGGGUGCUGAAUCUCAAAAUAUUUCACAUUAGUACACUUUCUGUCAUCUCAUCGUUCACGUAGGAGUAGAGCUCUCAGUGGGGGCAUUGAAUCACUAUUUGAGCUAGUGUUAGUUCGGACACUUGAGAAUGUUUCUAUAGGACAUGCUGGAUGGUCGAUGCUGCAGCCCACAAAGGACCGAGUGGCACUAUUCAUUUUCUAUAAUUGAUUAUUAGAAUUGCUAAUUGAUCCAGAGGGUUUUUAAUUUGAGGACGAAUUUUUCCAA